rnacentral:rRNA from 1 species
CUGUCUACUUAAUCUAUAUAAACUCAAUUUAUUUUAAAAUGAAUGUAAUGGAUGUAACACAUCUAAUACUAAGUUUCAACAACGGAUCUCUUGGCUCUCGCAUCGAUGAAGAACGCAGCGAAAUGCGAUAAGUAAUGUGAAUUGCAGAAUUCAGUGAAUCAUCGAAUCUUUGAACGCACCUUGCGCUCCUUGGUAUUCCUUGGAGCAUGCCUGUUUGAGUAUCAUGAAAUCUUCAAAGUCAAACCUUUUGUUAACUCAAUUGGUUCUGCUUUGGUAUUGGAGGUCUAUUGCAGCUUCACACCUGCUCCUCUUUGUGCAUUAGCUGGAUCUCAGUGUUAUGCUUGGUUCCACUCAGCGUGAUAAGUUAUCUAUCGCUGAGGACACCCUGUUAAAAAGGGGUGGCCAAGGUAAAUGCAGAUGAACCGCUUCUAACAGUCCAUUGACUUGGACAAAUAUUAAUUUUAUGAUCUGAUCUCAAAUCAGGUAGGACUACCCGCUGAACUUA